rnacentral:rRNA from 1 species
GCUUGUCUCAAAGAUUAAGCCAUGCAUGUCUAAGUAUAAACAACUUUAUACUGUAAAACUGCGAACGGCUCAUUAUAUCAGCAAUAAUUUAUUUGAUGGUUUCUUACCCCAUGGAUAACUGUGGUAAUUCUAGAGCUAAUACAUGCAUCAACCCCCGACUUUUGAAGGGGUGUAUUUAUUAGAUUGAAACCAAUGCGGGUUCGCCCGGUAUUUGGUGAUUCAUAAUAACUUUCGGAUCGACUUCGGUCGAUGCAUCAUUCAAGUUUCUGCCCUAUCAGCUUUGGAUGGUAGGGUAUUGGCCUACCAUGGCUUUAACGGGUAACGGAGAAUUAGGGUUCGAUUCCGGAGAGGGAGCCUGAGAAAUGGCUACCACAUCCAAGGAAGGCAGCAGG